rfam:HIV-1 isolate Z92X9x7/594 from TSA gag protein (gag) gene, partial sequence.
AGCCAGGGAGCAAGAAAAGAUAUCGAUUAAAACAUAUAGUACGGGCAAGCAGGGAGCUAGAACGAUUCGCAGUCAACCCUGGCC